AGCUAAUACCGCAUAACGUCGCAAGACCAAAGAGGGGGACCUUCGGGCCUCUUGCCAUCGGAUGUGCCCAGAUGGGAUUAGCUAGUAGGUGGGGUAACGGCUCACCUAGGCGACGAUCCCUAGCUGGUCUGAGAGGAUGACCAGCCACACUGGAACUGAGACACGGUCCAGACUCCUACGGGAGGCAGCAGUGGGGAAUAUUGCACAAUGGGCGCAAGCCUGAUGCAGCCAUGCCGCGUGUAUGAAGAAGGCCUUCGGGUUGUAAAGUACUUUCAGCGGGGAGGAAGGGAGUAAAGUUAAUACCUUUGCUCAUUGACGUUACCCGCAGAAGAAGCACCGGCUAACUCCGUGCCAGCAGCCGCGGUAAUACGGAGGGUGCAAGCGUUAAUCGGAAUUACUGGGCGUAAAGCGCACGCAGGCGGUUUGUUAAGUCAGAUGUGAAAUCCCCGGGCUCAACCUGGGAACUGCAUCUGAUACUGGCAAG
rnacentral:rRNA from 1 species